ensembl:lncRNA
UUAUUCUAAAAUUUUUAAUAUUCUAAGAAUGUUUUCUCUCAACAUUAUGAGAACGUAUAUCAAAUAUUAAUAAAACUGUAAGAACGGUCCAUAAACAUUACUUUAAGAACAUUUUGUCCUAGUUAACUUUUAAUAAAACUUUAGUUAACAUUGAAAAAAUGUUCCCUGGGUAGGCAGCACCCUGAGUGAAAUACACCAUUGAGAUGAAAUACAGUUUUUUUGGUGUUUAGCUGUGUAAUUUUCCAUGUCAGACGUGUAACUGCAAUUCCUUCAAAUCCUGUCUAGGCUCCCUAGGCUUAGAAACAGAGCUGAAGAAACUGAAAUAUGGAUGAUAUUCUGCUCGAGCACAGUGGGAAAAGAAAUAUUAUGAGAUUGUAAAGGUCAUGAGAUGUCACUUACCUGAGCAGACGCUGUGGGAAUAUCAGUGAAAGAUGGCGGGAUAUUUUCCUCAAAACCUGAUGAUCUCCAGCAUGAUUUGAGAUGAUACAAAGAGAAGAACAUCUGACCACCUGUGCAAAGACUCACAUGAUCAGUUUAAAUGAAAAAGAAGAAGAAGAAGAAGAAGAUGAUGAUGAUACUAUAUUCUUUGGUUUUUCUCAUUGUGAUGGAUGAUUAAGAGAAUUUGACUUUGCAUUCCCUAAUUUAUAUUCCUCAAUUAAAUUAUGAAUCAUGGCUGGAUAAUUUCAUGUUCCUAGUCACCCUGGUGUGCUAAAAAAAUGUAAAUAUGAAUGGGAAUAUAGAUCUUCAGAGAUUUUACUCAUAAUAAUUUCUAGGACUACAAAUAAUUGUGGCCAAUGUGAAUUAAAAAGAAGGAUGUAGAUAAAAUAUUUUCAUAAUGUUAUUUUGUUGAAAAGUUUUUUUUUUCUUUUAUUAUUUUAUUUUUAAAUUAUAUAUUAUUAUUUUUUAUUUUGUAUUUUUCUUCUCAAGCCUUGUAUUAAACUCUGUAUUGUUUUACAGAUACAGAUAUAUGAAAAAUAUGAUUUCAUGUAUUUGAACAAGCAUUGUUUUGUUUACUAAAAUUAAAACUCGGUCAUUAAAAUAAAGCUGAAAUGAAAUUAAAAUUAAAUCA